AUUGAACGCUGGCGGCAUGCUUUACACAUGCAAGUCGAACGGUAACAGGCCGCAAGGUGCUGACGAGUGGCGAACGGGUGAGUAAUGCAUCGGAACGUGUCCAGUCGUGGGGGAUAACUACUCGAAAGAGUAGCUAAUACUGCAUACGAUCUAUGGAUGACAGCGGGGGACCGUAAGGCCUCGCGCGAUUGGAGCGGCCGAUGUCAGAUUAGGUAGUUGGUGGGGUAAAGGCUCACCAAGCCAACGAUCUGUAGCUGGUCUGAGAGGACGACCAGCCACACUGGGACUGAGACACGGCCCAGACUCCUACGGGAGGCAGCAGUGGGGAAUUUUGGACAAUGGGCGCAAGCCUGAUCCAGCAAUGCCGCGUGCAGGAAGAAGGCCUUCGGGUUGUAAACUGCUUUUGUACGGAACGAAACGGCUCUGGUUAAUACCCGGGGCUAAUGACGGUACCGUAAGAAUAAGCACCGGCUAACUACGCG
rnacentral:rRNA from 1 species